rnacentral:misc_RNA from 1 species
CGAAUGAGGCUAGUACAAAUCACCAGAAUUUGUGAUGCGAUAACACUUAUGUUCAUUGAUAGUCGGUUGAGAAAAGGAAGUAUUUAUAAGAAUAAGCCGUACAAUUUUGAAUAAUAAUUUGUUUAUGACAAUUACUACAGAUAAUGGCGUAUUACAAUGGUUUUUCAGUUUCAUUAUUAAUAUUAGUCUGUAGUUUCACUUUUACUUUCUGUAUGAAUAAUGAAAUUGUGAAUGACAAAAAAGUGGCAAGUGCUAGGGUAGAGAGUUGUGGUGGAUGACGUUUGAAUCGUCUACCGGAAGUGAAACGGUUUAUUUUCACUGACAUUCCAUUGUUCCAUAAUGUGGAGUUUAAACAAAUCUCGGGAGCAACACCCGAAAUGAUCUUCUUGAAUAAAGCAGGUCAGGAGAUUGAGAGGAUUGAUUUGAGUGAAAAGAACCAGAAAGAAUGUCAAAAACUUUUACACGACCGAGGUUUCUAUCUCAAAAAACAUGAGAAUGAAGAAGUCCCUCCUGAAUUCAAGGAUGCACCAUACACUAGAAAAGAAACAGAAUUAUAAAUAUUUAUGCUUUAUUUAAUAUAAUUCUUAGCUUUGUUUUCACACCAAUCUUUAAUUUUUUUAUCAAAGAAAUUCCAUUUGAUUUUAUCUGAGAUGUUAAAUAUUUUUCUUUGUACCUAACAGUUGAACAAUGAAAAGGUAUUUUUUUUAUUUCUAAAAGUUGUGUAAAUAUUCCUAAACUGAAGCUAAAACAAUAAGUUCUCUAACUCUUAGAAAAAAACGAAAUUCAAUAAUAUUCUGUAUCUUUCAUUCACCAUCUAAUUUUAAUUUGUUUUGUUGGUGUUAAAACGAUUCCUGUCCUUGGGAGAGAGAGAAAAAAAGCAUUAACACACUUCUUGUCAUCAUAAAAUAGUUGUAAUAUUUUAUAAUAACCAGGUUACAGUUUGAAUACAAGGGAACUGAAGAUGAAUUUUAAUGAAACUAUGAGAGAGCUUUUUAUUUUCAAUAAAGUAUUUGAAAAUCAUUUUUAUAUUUAAUGUACAUGGGCAACUAGGCUUAAGAUUUUAUAUAGUUAUAAUUGCGUAAACUAUCAACUAGGCUUAAGAUUUUAUAUAGUUAUAAUUGCAUAAACUAUCGUAAGUAUUAACUUUUUAUAUCUAGUAAGUUUCUAAUCUAAGAAAUGCAUUAAAAAUUAUGUUUUCAUAGUGUGUUAAAGUUUUUUUUCUCUGACUUUCGUUUACUUGGCUGGUUACAAAAAGCAUUUUUUAAUUUCUGUUAUAUUUCGUUCAGUGUGCUCAUUGACCAAUCUGUUCCCAUAGACAUUGUGAUUUAUGAGUAUACAACUCUAUGUUAUUUUUUCAAUUGAGUCUUUAGAAAGCUAUUAACAAACUUCAAUUAUUUCUAUAACAGAAAAAUGCAUCCCACUAUUACAUUUAGAAACAUUUUAAGAGAAAAAAAAAACUAAUGUUACAGAAAAUGUCAGAUAAGACCACAGAUGUCAUUGGGAAAAAACACUUUUUCAUAAGACACUGUUGUUUAAAACUGGCAGUUAAUUAAGUUAUUUUUUCUUCAUUUUUUAUGAAGAUUUUCACUUUUUGUCAACCUUCAAUGUCGCUUUAUAAAUAAUGGUAACAUUGGCUGUUUAUCCUGCUAUUAUAUUCAGUUCUUUAAAUAUUUUUUUAAGCAAGCAAAAUUAAGAUUAAUUAAUUGUUAAACAAUUCACAUUUAGGUUUUUAAAGUAAUUUUUAGUGACAGAAUAUUGUUUUGUAUUUUUUUAUGGUAUAUAAAACUAAGAAGACAGAUAAUUAUUGCUGUUUAUGAGAACGUAAAAUGAAUAGUCAAAAAGUAAAUGGAUAAAAGAAUUAUUUCUCAGACAUUGAUAAUUACUUCUAUCUCUAAUCUUUAUCUUUGUAAACUGAAGAUUGUAAUGGUAACUAGUGUUGAUGACUUAGCUCUAACAGGAUAAUACAUUUUUUCUUUUGUUUACUCACGUUGGCAGGUUUUUUUUUUAUUAUUAGCUCUUACUUUUUUUAAAUUAUAACUCUCAUUUUUAAGCCUGCCCUUUCUCUCUCUCGACUGAGCACAGUAUGAAUGUUAUUACCGUUAGUAUAAUACUUUUCGUGUAGUUUAAUAUAGGAAGAACUAACUGAUCUCAAAGUUCAAGCCGUUAUUGUUGUGAAUUUAUGAAACUACAGACUGAAAAUGGUAAGGUCUGUGGUGGAUAUUUUGUCAUGAUGAAAUGGUUUUAUAAGUGAGAUGGCUAGUCUCGGAUAGUAUUAUAACAAAUCAUUGUUCGUGUCAGUACUAGUGAUUAUUCGGUAUGAUAAUGUAUUAUAACUUCCUGCUAAUGUUACAAUAAAUUCCAUUUCCUUA